UACGGAGGGGGCUAGCGUUGUUCGGAAUUACUGGGCGUAAAGCGCACGUAGGCGGCUUUGUAAGUUAGAGGUGAAAGCCCGGGGCUCAACUCCGGAAUUGCCUUUAAGACUGCAUCGCUAGAAUUGUGGAGAGGUAAGUGGAAUUCCGAGUGUAGAGGUGAAAUUCGUAGAUAUUCGGAAGAACACCAGUGGCGAAGGCGGCUCACUGGACGCGUAUUGACGCUGAGGUGCGAAAGCGUGGGGAGCAAACAGG
rnacentral:rRNA from 1 species